rnacentral:rRNA from 1 species
GAUGAACGCUGGCGGCGUGCCUAAUACAUGCAAGUCGAGCGAACAGACGAGGAGCUUGCUCCUCUGACGUGAGCGGCGGACGGGUGAGUAACACGUGGAUAACCUAUCUAUAAGACUGGGAUAACUUCGGGAAACCGGAGCUAAUACCGGAUAAUAUAUUGAACCGCAUGGUUCAAUAGUGAAAGACGGUUUUGCUGUCACUUAUAGAUGGAUCCGCGCCGCAUUAGCCAGUUGGUAAGGUAACGGCUUACCAAGGCAACGAUGCGUAACCGACCUGAGAGGGUGUGCGGCCCCACUGGAACUGAGCCACGGUCCAGACUCCUCCAGGAGGCCGCCGUAGGCAACCUUCCGCAAUGGGCGAAAGCCUGCCGGAGCAACGCCGCGUGAGUGAUGAAGGUCUUCGGAUCGUACAACUCUGUUAUUAGGGACGAACAAAUGUGUAAGUAACUAUGCACGUCUUGACGGUACCUAAUCAGACCGCCACGGCUACCUACGUG